ACCAUGAUAAACUAAAUUUAAAGUAAAAAAAACUUAAAAACUUAAACUUAUAAUCAUAACAAAAUAUUUUAUCAUGCUUAUAAUAUUAUAAUAUUCACUUUUCAUUUUUCAAUGCUUACCGGCAUAAUGUGAAUAAAAUUAUGUAAUUUGUGAUCGACGAUCAUCAGUGUCGGCAUUUUAAUCUUCUAAAAGUUUAUAACCAUUAUAUUUUUAUUUUUGCUAAUGUCCUAUAGUAAUUUCUUUAGAUACUUUUAGGUAUAUUUUUUCAAAAAACAAACAAUGGUUAAUUUUUGCAGUACCUAUAAUUGCUCCAAUACAAGUGAUAAACAAAAUGAAUUAAUAUUUCACAAGUUAGAAUUAAUGUUAAUUGUGAUUGAUAUUUCUUUUCCACUCGUUGAUAAAGAAAAAUUAAAAAGUGGAUUCAUCGAUUCAUGCUGUCAGACUGACAAAUUCCAAUUGUAGUUACAUACUACAUUUUACAAUAAAGCAGCUAUAAAUGGGGAAAUAGUUUUAAAAAAAUUUGUUGUGCCAACUAUUAUCGAAUUCCCAGAUCAUUUAAUGUCAAAGGAUAUAUUAGAACUAUUGAAAAUUAGUACAAAUAUGUAUGCUUCAAAUGGUAUAAAAAAAUAUAUUUUAUGCUGUUGAAGUUUAGACAAAACUAACUAGUGUACAAGUUAAUAAGACAGUACAUCAUUUACAUCAAGAAAAGAAAAUAUUACAACAAAUAUUUAAUUGAAAAAAAUAUCAAAAUGAAGAAAUCCUUCUAGGCAGUGAUGAACCUAGAGAUCAGGAGAGAAAAUUGAAAAAGAAGAAAAAUAUCAGUAGAAGAUACAAGUCUUUCCAGACAGUGGUGAACAUAGAAAACAAUUUCGAAGAGGUUUUUGUAUCAUCAAUAUGUUGUACUUACUGUUCCAUUCAAUAUUUACAAGUUAUUUUAUUUUCAUAUAAUUAUAAUGAAUCACUGUGAAUAACUACAGGAUCUCAAUUUCAAUUAAAUAACUGAGAUAUUAAAGCUCAAUAUUUUUCUGCGAGUCUUAUAUAUGUAUUAAUUUAUAAUAUAAAUAAACUUUUGUUAAUUCAUUUA